rnacentral:rRNA from 1 species
UUAGUAGUUUGAUCCUGGCUCAGAUUGAACGCUGGCGGCAUGCCUUACACAUGCAAGUCGAACGGCAGCACGGGGGCAACCCUGGUGGCGAGUGGCGAACGGGUGAGUAAUACAUGCGGAACGUGUCCUGUAGUGGGGGAUAGCCCGGCGAAAGCCGGAUUAAUACCGCAUACGAUCUACGGAAGAAAGCGGGGGAUCGCAAGACCUCGCGCUAUAGGGGCGGCCGAUGGCAGAUUAGCUAGUUGGUGGGGUAAAGGCCUACCAAGGCGACGAUCUGUAGCUGGUCUGAGAGUGACGACCAGCCACACUGGGACUGAGACACGGCCCAGACUCCUACGGGAGGCAGCAGUGGGGAAUUUUGGACAAUGGGGGAAACCCUGAUCCAGCUAUGCCGCGUGUGUGAAGAAGGCCUUCGGGUUGUAAAGCACUUUUGUCCGGAAAGUAAAACUUCUGCCCUAAUACGGUGGGAGGAUGACGGUACC